rnacentral:ncRNA from 1 species
UAAAAUGAGAGUUUGAUCCUGGCUCAGGACGAACGCUGGCGGCGUGCCUAAUACAUGCAAGUCGAACGC